GAUGAAGAACGUAGCGAAAUGCGAUAAGUAAUGUGAAUUGCAGAAUUCAGUGAAUCAUCGAAUCUUUGAACGCACAUUGCGCCCCUUGGUAUUCCGAGGGGCAUGCCUGUUCGAGCGUCAUUAUAACCCCUCAAGCUCAGCUUGGUGUUGGGGCCUGCUGCACUGGCAGCCCUUAAAAUCAGUGGCGGCGCCAUCUGGCUCUAAGCGUAGUAAUUCUUCUCGCUAUGGAGUCCUGGUGGAUGCUUGCCAUCAACCCCCAAUUUUUCUAUGGUUGACCUCGGAUCAGGUAGGGAUGCCCGCUGAACUUAAGCAUAUCAAUAAGCGGAGGA
rnacentral:misc_RNA from 1 species